rnacentral:lncRNA from 1 species
CAGAUGAUACUUGGUUGAAUAGAACCCAACCUACUGGUAAAAAGUUGGACAAGUGGGCAGUGUCUAAACCUGUCUGCUAUGGGCUGAAUUCUGUCCCCCAAAAUUCAUGCAAUUCUUAAUCCCCAAUGAGACUAUAUCUGGAGAUGGGGCAUUUGGGAGGUAAUUAAAGUUAAAUGAAGUCAUAAGGGUGGGGUCUGAAUCCAAUGGGAUUGGUGGCCUUAUAAGAAGAGAAAGAGAGAAUUUCUCUCCACAUGCACAAACCUAGGAAAGGCCAUGUGGGCACACAGCAAGAAGGUGACCGUCUCCAACCCAGAAAGAGAGCUCUCACCAGAACCCACCAGGCUGGCACCCUGAUCUCAGACUUCCAGCCUCCAGAACCAUGAGAAAUUAAUUUCGAUUUUUAAGUCACCCAGUCUAUGGUAGUUUGUUAUGGCCACCCCAGCUGACUAAUAAACUAUCUGAGAACCAGCAAGGUUCAGGAGCAGAUCCUUUAAGACAGGGGUCAUCUUCUGCUUCUGGGUGAGUGUUGGGGCUGACAGAGUCAUUUAAGCCACAAUCAGAGAAGUUCUCUCCAAUCUGGUUGCUUUUUGCUAAACCUGUUUGCUUGCGAGGAAGCACAAUCGUGGGUCUAAUCUUUCCGACUUCUACCUCAGGUUCUGGGGGGAGAUCUAGGGACCUUGGGUAUCUAGAAGGAUACUGGCUAGGCAAGAAAGACACUAACGUUUGUUGAGGUUGCUACGUGAGGAGCUGUGCCAGACCUUACGGACCUCCCCUUGUGUAAUCUUAACAGCAACCCUCAUUUUACAAGGAGGAAGCUGAGGCUCAGAAAGGUCACAGGCAUGCCUUCCAGUUGGCCGUGUGCCAUCAAAUGGAAGAGAUUCCCAGGUUUCAUGGCGAAAGCUCAAGCCACGUUAGGAGCUGGACCCCUCCAGAAGGGCGAUCUUUCUCUCUCAACCAAUACUGCUGUAGCCGGCCUCCCAAGGACAGCAGAGGCUAUGUUUCCAGCCUGUCCAGGCAUGUCCAGGUACCUCUGGAACAUUGCGGACCAAUAAGAGGAGCCCAUUGGUAGGUCCAUUUGUAUGAGAGUCCACAAAGCUAAUGAGAGGAAACCCUAAAAGAAGAAGAAUUGGUGUGUGUGCACAGCUGUGAGUGGAGGAGCGAUUUGGAGCACAGUGGAGGGUGCAGGGUUCAUUGCCCUCUGCCUCGGACUUCCUGCUGUCCCCCACCCUUAACCGUCCCCUGUGGCCCCUCUCCCUCA